rnacentral:rRNA from 1 species
CAGCCGCCGCGGUAAUACCGGCGGCCCGAGUGGCGGUCACUAUUAUUGGGCUUAAAGCGUCCGUUGCCGGGUUGGGAAGUCCUUCGGGAAAUCUUGCCGCUUAACGGUUAGAAUGCCGGAGGAUACUCCCAGCCUAGGGAGCGGGAGAGGCCGAGGGUAAUCCCGGAGUAGGGGGGAAAUCCUAUAAUCCCGGGAGGACCACCUGUGGCGAAGGCGCUCGGCUGGAACGCGUCCGACGGUGAGGGACGAAGGCCAGGGGAGCAAACCAGAUUACAUACCCGGGUAGUCCUGGCUGUAAACGAUGCGGACUUUGUGUCGGACAAGCUAUGAGCUUGUCCGAUGCCGGAGGGAAACCGUUAAGUCCGCCGCCUGGGGAGUACGGCCGCAAGGAUGAAACUUAAAGGAAUUGGCGGG